rnacentral:rRNA from 1 species
GGGGUGAGGGGGGGGGUACCUGGCGGCGUGCCUAUCUGCAGUCGUGCGAGGGAUUUGGAGCUUGCUCCUUUGCCGUUAGCGGCGGACGGGUGAGUAACACGUGGGUAACCUACCUAUAAGACUGGAAUAACUCCGGGAAACCGGGGCUAAUGCCGGAUAACAUAUAUAACCGCAUGGUUCUAUAGUGAAAGAUGUUUUUGCUAUCUUUUAUACAUGGACCCGCGCCGUAUUAGCUAGUUGGUAAGGUAACGGCUUACCAAGGCGACGAUACGUAGCCGACCUGACAGGGUGAUCGGCCACACUGGAACUGAGACACGGUCCAGACUCCUACGGGAGGCAGCAAUAGGGAAUCUUCCGCACUGGGCGAAAGCCUGACGGACCAACGCAGCGUGAGUGAUGAAGGGUUUCAGCUCGUAAAACUCUGUUAUUAUGGAAGAACAUAUGUGUAAGUAACUGUGCACAUCUUGACGGUACCUAAUCAAAAAGCCACGGCUAACUACGUGCCAGCAGCCGCGGUAAUACGUAUGUGCCCAGCGUUAUCCGAAUAAUUGGACUAAAGCGCGCGUAGGCGUUCCUUAUUCUUAUGUAAACCCACGGCUCACCCGUGC